CACUUUGACACACUAGCCGGUUCAACUAACCUACACUCCGCAAAGAGAUCCCGGGAAGAGGAGUGCAAAUCUCCCGCUGCCCCGCAGCCGUGAUGGGUACGAAAGCCCGGUACAAGCCACUGUCGUGAGUCAUAUCAUGAUGGGAAGGCGGGCAAGUAGGUUCGAUCCCAAAGCCGGAAGACCUGUCAACACCACAUAAAACGAC
rnacentral:ncRNA from 22 species